GUUGACUCUGAGUAGCGGCAGACGGGUUAGUAACGCGUGGGAACGUGCCCUUCGGUACGGAAUAGCCCCGGGAAACUGGGUGUAAUACCGUAUACGACCUCCGGGUGAAAGAUUUAUCGCCGAAGGAUCGGCCCGCGUUAGAUUAGCUAGAUGGUGAGGUAAAGGCUUACCAUGGCGACGAUCUAUAGCUGUUCUGAGAGGAAGAUCAGCAACACUGGGACUGAGACACGGCCCAGACUCCUACGGGAGGCAGCAGUGGGGAAUAUUGGACAAUGGGCGAAAGCCUGAUCCAGCCAUGCCGCGUGGAUGAAGAAGGCCCUAGGGUUGUAAAGUCCUUUCGAUGGUGAAGAUAAUGACGGUAACCAUACAAGAAGCCCCGGCUAAUUUCGUGCCAGCAGCCGCGGUAAUACGAAAGGGGCUAGCGUUGUUCGGAAUUACUGGGCGUAAAGCGCACGUAGGCGGCCUUGUAAGUUGGGGGUGAAAUCCCGGAGCUCAACUCCGGAACUGCCUCCAAAACUACAAAGCUAGAGGAUGCGAGAGGAUAGUGGAAUUCCGAGUGUAGAGGUGAAAUUCGUAGAUAUUCGGAAGAACACCAGUGGCGAAGGCGACUGUCUGGCGCAUAUCUGACGCUGAGGUGCGAAAGCGUGGGG
rnacentral:rRNA from 1 species